rnacentral:rRNA from 1 species
UACAGAGGUCUCAAGCGUUGUUCGGAUUCAUUGGGCGUAAAGGGUGCGUAGGUGGCGCCGUAAGUCAGGUGUGAAAUUUCGGAGCUUAACUCCGAAACUGCAUUCGAUACUGCGGUGCUUGAGGACUGGAGAGGAGACUGGAAUUCAUGGUGUAGCAGUGAAAUGCGUAGAGAUCAUGAGGAAGACCAGUGGCGAAGGCGGGUCUCUGGACAGUUCCUGACACUGAGGCGCGAAAGCGUGGGGAGCAAACAGG